GGGGCAGCCCGGCUAGUGGAGCCUGCGGCUUACUUUGACUAUCCACGGGAAAACUCGCCCGGGGCGGACACCGUCAGGAUUGACAGAUUGGGAGCUCUUUCUUGAUUCACCGGGCGGUGGAGCAUGGCCAUCGAUAGUUGGUGAAGCGAUUUGUCUGGUUAAUUCCGAUAACUAACGAGACUCUAUCCUGCUUAAUAGGCAGCGGAUUCUUAAUCCCCUGUCCUUCUUAGAGGGACAAGCACCGUCUAGCUGCACGAUAUUGAGCAAUAACAUGUCUGUGAUGCCCUUAGAUGUUCAGAGCUGCACGCGCGCUACACUGAAGGAAUCAACAUGCUUCUCAACCUUGCCCGGAAGGGCUAGGUAACCCGUUGAAACUCCUUCGUGAUUGGGAUAGGGAAUUGCAAUUAUUUCCCUUGAACGACGAAUUCCCAGUAAGUGCGGGUCAUCAGCUCGCGCUGAUUACGUCCCUGCCCUUUGUACACACCGCCCGUCUCUACUACCGAUUGCAUAUAGACGAUA
rnacentral:rRNA from 1 species